rnacentral:rRNA from 1 species
UACAGAGGUCUCAAGCGUUGUUCGGAUUCAUUGGGCGUAAAGGGUGCGUAGGCGGCGCGGUAAGUCGGGUGUGAAAUCUCGGAGCUUAACUCCGAAACUGCAUUCGAUACUGCCGUGCUUGAGGACUGGAGAGGAGACUGGAAUUUACGGUGUAGCGGUGAAAUGCGUAGAUAUCGUAAGGAAGACCAGUGGCGAAGGCGGGUCUCUGGACAGUUCCUGACGCUGAGGCACGAAGGCCAGGGGGAGCAAAAAGGG